rnacentral:rRNA from 2 species
UGGGGAAUCUUCCGCAAUGGGCGAAAGCCUGACGGAGCAACGCCGCGUGAAUGAAGAAGGCCUUCGGGUCGUAAAGUUCUGUCUUUAGGGACGAAUACUCUGUUGCAAAUAGUUACAGAGUUGACGGUACCUGAGGAGGAAGCUCCGGCUAACUACGUGCCAGCAGCCGCGGUAAUACGUAGGGAGCAAGCGUUGUCCGGAAUUACUGGGCGUAAAGGGCGCGUAGGUGGAUGCUUAAGUCAGAUGUGAAAACUCUGGGCUCAACUUGGAGAUUGCAUUUGAAACUGGGUAUCUUGAGGGUAGGAGAGGAAAGUGGAAUUCCUAGUGUAGCGGUGAAAUGCGUAGAUAUUAGGAGGAACACCAGUGGCGAAGGCGACUUUCUGGACUAUACCUGACACUGAGGCGCGAAAGCGUGGGGAGCGAACGGG